rnacentral:rRNA from 1 species
GACGAACGCUGGCGGCGUGCUUAACACAUGCAAGUCGAACGGAAAGGCCCUGCUUUUGUGGGGUGCUCGUGUGGCGAACGGGUGAGUAACACGUGAGUAACCUGCCCUUGACUUUGGGAUAACUUCAGGAAACUGGGGCUAAUACCGGAUAGGAGCUCCUGCUGCAUGGUGGGGGUUGGAAAGUUUCGGCGGUUGGGGAUGGACUCGCGGCUUAUCAGCUUGUUGGUGGGGUAGUGGCUGACCAAGGUUUUGACGGAUAGCCGGCCUGAGAGGGGGGACGGGCACAUUGGGACUGCGAUACGGCGCAGACUCCUACGGGAGGCAGCAGGGGGGAGUAUUGCACAAUGGGCGGAAGCCUGAUGCGGCAACGCCGCGUGUGGAAUGACGUCCUUCGGGUUGUAAACCACUUUCGCCUGUGACGAAGCGGGAGUGACGGUAAUGGGUAAAGAAGCACCGGCUAACUACGUG